AGCUUUGCACAGUGGCAGCAUCGUAGUCAAUGAGGUUUAUCUGAGGCGCGAUUGUUGCUAAUUGAAAACUUUUCCCAAUACCCC
rnacentral:snRNA from 1 species